ACACCUCAACUCUCAUGGUCCGCCAUGAUGAGCUUGGACUUUGGGGGUCUUGCCGGCCUGCCGUCGGCUCCUCUCAAAAGAAUCAGCUUGCCGGUGUUUGGUGGCGUCACAGGUGUGAUAGUUAUCUACGCUUGUGGUCUGCCGCCAGGUAACCUCCAGUGAUGGAGGUUCGCUGGAGCUCACAAAUGUCUCUCCUCAGUGAGGACAGCUUCUUGAAC
rnacentral:misc_RNA from 1 species